GAUGAAGAACGUAGUGAAAUGCGAUAAGUAAUGUGAAUUGCAGAAUUCAGUGAAUCAUCGAAUCUUUGAACGCACAUUGCGCCCGCCAGUAUUCUGGCGGGCAUGCCUGUUCGAGCGUCAUUACGCCCCUCAAGUCCCCUGUGGACUUGGUGUUGGGGAUCGGCGAGGCUGGUUUUCCAGCACAGCCGUCCCUUAAAUUAAUUGGCGGUCUCGCCGUGGCCCUCCUCUGCGCAGUAGUAAAACACUCGCAACAGGAGCCCGGCGCGGUCCACUGCCGUAAAACCCCCCAACUUUUUAUAGUUGACCUCGAAUCAGGUAGGACUACCCGCUGAACUUAAGCAUAUCAAUAAGCGGAGGA
rnacentral:misc_RNA from 1 species